rnacentral:lncRNA from 1 species
UGAUAUUGCCUUUUAUAAGAGUUCGACAACAAUGGCAAAUAAGGGGAGAAGAAAGAGAAAUGAUUUAUUUCAUGAGUCAAUGUUACUAAAAUAUCAACUAUUUUUAUGAUUCUAACACCAAAACUUAUACACAUUUUAUUACUAUUCAAGAAAAUUUGGCAUUUUCUCAUUUCUAUUCAAACAGACUACUGCUUAUCUAUAAAAUUAGGUUAAGUACGUUUUCCAGCACUAGAUGUUAUCAACUACUAUUAUUAAGUUAUUCGAAAUUAACAGGCUCAUACGUAAAAUAAUUUGUCAAUAUAUAACCACAACUUUGAAUAUCUCAUAAAGGUAAUCUCUAAAGAGCAUCCUGCCAACGGCUAUCGUAACGUAGGUUUAAUAUAC